rnacentral:rRNA from 1 species
GAUGAACGCUAGCGGCAGGCUUAACACAUGCAAGUCGAGCGAGAAAGCUCCUUCGGGAGUGAUUAAAGCGGCGCACGGGUGCGUAACACGUACACAAUCUACCUUUCAGUGGGGGAUAGCCCUGGGAAACCGGGAUUAAUACCCCAUAGCUUUUGAAUUAGGCAUCUUAUUCAAAAUAAAGCUCCGGCGCUGAAAGAUGAGUGUGCGGCCCAUUAGCUAGUUGGUGAGGUAACGGCUCACCAAGGCUACGAUGGGUAGCGGGUCUGAGAGGACGAUCCGCCACACGGGAACUGAGACACGGUCCCGACUCCUACGGGAGGCAGCAGUGGGGAAUAUUGGGCAAUGGACGCAAGUCUGACCCAGCCAUGCCGCGUGCAGGAUGACGGCCCUAUGGGUUGUAAACUGCUUUUCUGGAAGAAGAAACCCCCUGAUUUAUCGGGGGCUGACGGUACUCCAGGAAUAAGCACCGGCUAACUCCG